rnacentral:rRNA from 1 species
ACUACGGGUGGCAGCAGUGGGGAAUAUUGCACAAUGGGGGAAACCCUGAUGCAGCGACGCCGCGUGAGUGAAGAAGUAAUUCGGUAUGUAAAGCUCUAUCAGCAGGGAAGAAAAUGACGGUACCUGAGUAAGAAUCCGCGGCUAACUACGAUCCAGCACCCGCGGCAAUACGGAGGGGGCAAUAGUUAUCAGGAUUUACUAGGGGUAAAGGGAGCGUCGACGGGAGUUGAGGUCUGGAGGGAAAGGCGGGGGCUCAAACCCCUGACUGCCCUUUAAACUGUCCGGCUGGAGUGCAGGAGAGGUAAGUGGAAUUCCGAGUGUAGCGGUGAAAUGCGUAGAUAUCAGGAGGAACACCAGUGGCGAAGGCGGCUUACUGGACUGUAACUGACGCUGAGGCUCGAAAGCGUGGGGAGCAAACAGGAUUAGAUACCCCAGUAGUC